GGAACGCGGUAACACAACGAAAUAACAUGAAUGACCGUUCAACGGUAAGACAUCCUUCGAUUGAAGGGGUCAAGGUGUUGAAUCGGUGUGUUGCUUGAGAACUCAAUAGUGUGCUUUGUUCAAUAAAAUCACCAAAUAUGGUGAUGGAAACUGAAACUAAUACCAAAUAUUUAUUUAUUUGAUAAUCAUUGAAUGGUUUCAAAAAAGUCAGCUUGAGUCACGCACCCCCGUGUGUGAUUCGCUGUUUGAGAUCAGAUUAUCGAACUUUUCUAUUUUUUCAACGGAGAGUUUGAUUCUGGCUCAGGACGAACGCUGGCGGCGUGCUUAACACAUGCAAGUCGAACGAUGAAGCCUAGCUUGCUACGACGCCGCGUGAGGGAUGACGGCCUUCGGGUUGUAAACCUCUGUUAGCAGGGAAGAAGAGAGAUUGACGGUACCUGCAGAGAAAGCGCCGGCUAACUACGUGCCAGCAGCCGCGGUAAUACGUAGGGCGCGAGCGUUGUCCGGAAUUAUUGGGCGUAAAGAGCUUGUAGGCGGUUUGUCGCGUCUGCUGUGAAAGGCCGGGGCUUAACUCCGUGUAUUGCAGUGGGUACGGGCAGACUAGAGUGCAGUAGGGGAGACUGGAAUUCCUGGUGUAGCGGUGGAAUGCGCAGAUAUCAGGAGGAACACCGAUGGCGAAGGCAGGUCUCUGGGCUGUAACUGACGCUGAGAAGCGAAAGCAUGGGGAGCGAACAGGAUUAGAUACCCUGGUAGUCCAUGCCGUAAACGUUGGGCACUAGGUGUGGGGGACAUUCCACGUUUUCCGCGCCGUAGCUAACGCAUUAAGUGCCCCGCCUGGGGAGUACGGCCGCAAGGCUAAAACUCAAAGAAAUUGACGGGGGCCCGCACAAGCGGCGGAGCAUGCGGAUUAAUUCGAUGCAACGCGAAGAACCUUACCAAGGCUUGACAUAUACUGGACCGCAUCAGAGAUGGUGUUUCCCUUCGGGGCUGGUAUACAGGUGGUGCAUGGUUGUCGUCAGCUCGUGUCGUGAGAUGUUGGGUUAAGUCCCGCAACGAGCGCAACCCUCGUUCUAUGUUGCCAGCACGUUAUGGUGGGGACUCAUAGGAGACUGCCGGGGUCAACUCGGAGGAAGGUGGGGAUGACGUCAAAUCAUCAUGCCCCUUAUGUCUUGGGCUUCACGCAUGCUACAAUGGCCGGUACAG
rnacentral:rRNA from 1 species